ACAAUGGUACUCCUGUCCAGCCACAGCUACACACAAUGGGGACAGCUCGGAGAGAUCCUCGGAGGGAUGAAAAGUCCCGUGA
rnacentral:ncRNA from 1 species